CGCUGAACUUAAGCAUAUCAAUAAGCGGAGGAAAAGAAACCAACAGGGAUUGCCCUAGUAACGGCGAGUGAAGCGGCAACAGCUCAAAUUUGAAAUCUGGCUUCGGCCCGAGUUGUAAUUUGCAGAGGAUGUUUCUGGCGCGGUGCCUUCCGAGUUCCCUGGAACGGGACGCCACAGAGGGUGAGAGCCCCGUAUGGUUGGACACCAAGCCUGUGUGAAACUCCUUCGACGAGUCGAGUAGUUUGGGAAUGCUGCUCUAAAUGGGAGGUAAAUCUCUUCUAAAGCUAAAUACCGGCCAGAGACCGAUAGCGCACAAGUAGAGUGAUCGAAAGAUGAAAAGCACCUUGAAAAGGGGGUUAAAUAGUACGUGAAAUUGUUGAAAGGGAAGCACUUAU
rnacentral:rRNA from 1 species